rnacentral:rRNA from 1 species
UACAGAGGUCUCAAGCGUUGUUCGGAUUCAUUGGGCGUAAAGGGUGCGUAGGCGGCGUGGUAAGUCGGGUGUGAAAUCUCGGAGCUUAACUCCGAAACUGCAUUCGAUACUGCCGUGCUUGAGGACUGGAGAGGAGACUGGAAUUUACGGUGUAGCGGUGAAAUGCGUAGAGAUCAUGAGGAAGACCAGUGGCGAAGGCGGGUCUCUGGACAGUUCCUGACACUGAGGCACGAAGGCCAGGGGAGCAAACGGG